CUCUGGUAGAGAUUCACAGGCAGGAAGUUUAUUCAGAGUGCUCUGGGGCAACACCUGUGAGGGAAUACAGGCAGUAAAACAGGGCAGAGGGAGAGGCUGAAUUCUGAUGCAGCUGCAAACAAAAGCCUGACUGAUCCAGGAGGAUGCUCUGCAACGGGGCUGGGCGUUCAAAGUGGAUCCAAGCCGGGUGAAAGGUCCAGGCCUUCAUGUCCCAGCAUCAACCUGUCUUUGGAUAUGGGUUGCUACUGCUCCUACCUUGGGCAUCCUAGUUCUCCUCAGCCACAGGCAAUCCCGAAGAGGGUCUCAGCUGAGCACUGUCAGCUGCCAACAUUACCAGCAGCUGAAGAAGGAAGUCCUUCCCUCCUGGAAGCGGGUGGAGGGAGUGUUGUAGAUCUGGGCUGCCUGACAACAUCUUCUGCAUUGCUCAGGGCGUGUUUCCCACUCAACUCUCAGUGAUGAAUAAACUCAAAGGAAAGGAAAAUCAUUUGGCAACCGGAAGGUGUGGGAGGAUAGCUGUAAAUGAAACUGACGGCAAAAAACAGAGCAGAGAAGUUUAAAGAAAAAAAAUAACAGCAUUCCUGGUGAUGCCCCAUUGGGCCAAUGAAACAAACACAUUCUGAAGCCUUUCCUAACCAGGAGCCAACCAAUCUCAUCACUGUGAAGCCAGAAAACCCUAUCUAUUGAAGAUGACUGCUUUCUUCUACUGUAGCUGGCAAUUUUAUGAAAUGAAGAAAAUUUGCUCUAGUUGCAAGUGACACACACCUCUUAAAUGUCUGCUAUCAAUUAAAAGUAAAAUACUGGUUACUUGCAACUAUCAAUUAGAUACAAUGCACUCCAGGAGAUCAGGAGCCUUGGCAUUCAGACAUAGGAGCAUUUUUUUGGCUUUGCCAUUUACUUGCAAUGUGACCUUGAUGAGAGAGAAGUUGAUGCUCAGCGAGGUGAAGUAAUUUGCCCAGGGUUAAGAUUCAAAUGCAAGUCUGGGGACCCUGAAGUCUGCUUCUUUUCACUGUGCUGCGUAGUGGCCUUAGCCUUUCCUUUCUAACAGAGAAGCCAAGACAGCAUACCUGUGUCUGAGUGCCCCAGUGGUGUGCACAUCUAUUACCUCAGGAAGAAAGAAUGUCUGAGGAGACGAAAUUUGCAAACAGUUACAAAGGACUGCACACACAAAUAUGAAUAAAGCCUCUUGAACACCAGA
rnacentral:lncRNA from 1 species